AUUGAACGCUGGCGGCAUGCCUAACACAUGCAAGUCGAACGGAGGUAGGGGCAACUCUACUUCAGUGGCGGACGGGUGAGGAAUGCGUCGGAAUCUACCCUAUGGUGGGGGAUAACACAGGGAAACUUGUGCUAAUACCGCAUAAUGUCGAGAGACCAAAGCAGGGGACCGCAAGGCCUUGCGCGAUAGGAUGAGCCGACGCCCGAUUAGCUAGUUGGUAGGGUAAAGGCCUACCAAGGCGACGAUCGGUAGCUGGUCUGAGAGGAUGAUCAGCCACACUGGGACUGAGACACGGCCCAGACUCCUACGGGAGGCAGCAGUGGGGAAUAUUGGACAAUGGGCGCAAGCCUGAUCCAGCAAUGCCGCGUGUGUGAAGAAGGCCUGCGGGUUGUAAAGCACUUUUGUUCGGGAAGAAAUCAUGCUGGUUAAUACCUGGUAUGGAUGACGGUACCCGCAUAAGAAGCACCGGCUAACUACGUGCCAGCAGCCG
rnacentral:rRNA from 1 species